rnacentral:sRNA from 1 species
UCUUUUUCUUUAUUUUUCU